rnacentral:rRNA from 1 species
GACGAACGCUGGCGGCGUGCCUAAUACAUGCAAGUCGAGCGAAGUUUUUCUGGUGCUUGCACCGGAAAAACUUAGCGGCGAACGGGUGAGUAACACGUAAAGAACCUGCCUCAUAGACUGGGACAACUAUUGGAAACGAUAGCUAAUACCGGAUAACAGCAUUAACUGCAUGGUUGAUGUUUAAAAGUUGGUUUUGCUAACACUAUGAGAUGGCUUUGCGGUGCAUUAGCUAGUUGGUGGGGUAAAGGCCUACCAAGGCGACGAUGCAUAGCCGACCUGAGAGGGUGAUCGGCCACACUGGGACUGAGACACGGCCCAGACUCCUACGGGAGGCAGCAGUAGGGAAUCUUCCGCAAUGGGCGAAAGCCUGACGGAGCAACGCCGCGUGAGUGAAGAAGGAUUUCGGUUCGUAAAGCUCUGUUGUUAGGGAAGAAUGAUUGCGUAGUAACUAUACACAGUAGAGACGGUACCUAACCAGAAAGCCACGGCUAACUACGUG